rnacentral:tRNA from 2 species
AUUUAAAUAGCUUAAGUUUAGAGUAUUAUAUUGAAGAUAUAAAGGUAAUAUUAAUUUUGUUUUUAAAUA